AUCGAACGCUGGCGGCAGGCCUAACACAUGCAAGUCGAGCGGAUGACGGGAGCUUGCUCCUUGAUUCAGCGGCGGACGGGUGAGUAAUGCCUAGGAAUCUGCCUGGUAGUGGGGGACAACGUUUCGAAAGGAACGCUAAUACCGCAUACGUCCUACGGGAGAAAGCAGGGGACCUUCGGGCCUUGCGCUAUCAGAUGAGCCUAGGUCGGAUUAGCUAGUUGGUGGGGUAAUGGCUCACCAAGGCGACGAUCCGUAACUGGUCUGAGAGGAUGAUCAGUCACACUGGAACUGAGACACGGUCCCGACUCCUACGGGAGGCAGCAGUGGGGAAUAUUGGACAAUGGGCGAAAGCCUGAUCCCGCCAUGCCGCGUGUGUGAAGAAGGUCUUCGGAUUGUAAAGCACUUUAAGUUGGGAGGAAGGGCAGUAAGCUAAUACCUUGCUGUUUUGACGUUACCGACAGAAUAAGCACCGGCUAACUCUGUGCCAGCCGCCGCCGUAA
rnacentral:rRNA from 1 species